GGAUGCGAUCAUACCAGCACUAAAGCACCGGGUCCCAUAAGAACUCCGAAGUUAAGCGUGCUUGGGCGAGAGUAGUACUAGGAUGGGUGACCUCCUGGGAAGUCCUCGUGUUGCAUUCC
rnacentral:rRNA from 1 species